rnacentral:rRNA from 1 species
GACGAACGCUGGCGGCGUGCUUAACACAUGCAAGUCGAACGGAAAGGCCCUGCUUUUGUGGGGUGCUCGAGUGGCGAACGGGUGAGUAACACGUGAGUAACCUGCCCUUGACUUUGGGAUAACUUCAGGAAACUGGGGCUAAUACCGGAUAGGAGCUCCUGCUGCAUGGUGGGGGUUGGAAAGUUUCGGCGGUUGGGGAUGGACUCGCGGCUUAUCAGCUUGUUGGUGGGGUAGUGGCUUACCAAGGCUUUGACGGGUAGCCGGCCUGAGAGGGUGACCGGCCACAUUGGGACUGAGAUAGGGCCCAGACUCCUACGGGAGGCAGCAGUGGGGAAUAUUGCACAAUGGGCGGAAGCCUGAUGCAGCAACGCCGCGUGCGGGAUGACGGCCUUCGGGUUGUAAACCGCUUUCGCCUGUGACGAAGCGGGAGUGACGGUAAUGGGUAAAGAAGCACCGGCUAACUACGUG